rnacentral:tRNA from 1 species
GGAUAGGUAACAUAAUGGAAAUGUAUCCGACUGCAAAUCCUGGAAUGACGGUUUGACCCCGUCCUUGGCCU